UGUGUGUUUGCAUAUGUGUCCUGCCUCUCUGCUCCCAGCUGUUAAGAGGUCAGUGUUGAUCAGUGGCUGUUCAGACCUUUCAGAGACACUGAACACACCAGCAGCACAAUGAUGAUGUCACUGACUCUACUGCUGACCACCCUGGGGCUCCUUGUUCAGGGUUCAUCAGGUGAAAUCAUCCUGACUCAGACUCCUCGAUCUCAGUCUGUUGUUCCUGGACAGACUGUUUCCAUCAAAUGUAAAGCCAGUUCCAACAUGGGUGCCUACCUUCACUGGUACCUUCAAAAACCUGGAGAGGUUCCUAAACUCCUCAUAAAUUAUGCUACAACUCGUGUGUCUGGAGUUUCAGAUCGUUUCAGUGGAAGUGGAUCUGGGACUGAUUUCACUUUAACCAUCAGUGGAAUCCAGACUGAAGAUACAGGAGAUUAUUACUGUCAGCAGGGUGGUUACAGCUGGCCGUUCACACGGUGAUACAACAUCGUACAAAAACCUCCUUCAGCUGGAGAGGAACUGAUCUGAAUGAGCUGCUCACUGAAACCACAACACAGCUGAAUGUAAUGGUACACAACUUUAUAAUAUAAGACCAGACAGGGAUCAAAGUUCAGCACUGAUCUUUGAAACGUGUUAAUGCACCAAUUUAAACCAGCAGAAGAAAAUAUCCUCAUCGUGAUUGAAAUGUCCAGAUUUUUCUUUAUAAAUCAUUCAUCCAGUUCAGGACUGUGUGAGAUAAACAACCAUACAAGAUCCCACUCCUACCUUAUAAUCAAUUUACAUUCAUCAAGUAACCUAACAGGCAUGUUUUUGUAUGAUGGGAGGAAGCCACAAACACAGAAGCAUCAUACAACCUGAAAUUUGAGCCAGAAACCUUUUUUGGUUUGAGUCGACAGUGCUGAUCACCACAUUCAGCUCUGUUAUUUAUUCAGUUACAGCAAAUAUUUUCUUUCUUUCAUUUUACAGAAAAUGUUUGAAGCAGCUAAAUUAAUGAGGCCAGAAUUAAAACAUGAUAUGGACUCAUUGACUUGACUGCAAGUAGUCAUGUGGCCACUCAAGUCUCUUUAUCAGAGGUCAGAGAGGGUUGUAUUCAUGUUUUACGUAUGUGCAGUUUUCCCAUCAGAUUUUUAAAUAUGGAAACGAUUAAACUCAUAAGUUAAUUAUUGGGUUGAUAAAAACAGAUGGAGAACGCAAAAUAUUUAUUCUAGAUAAAGAUUUUUAAAUCUUUAUCGAUAAACAUUGAUUCUAUUACAAACAUUCAGUAUAAAACUAAUCAGUUUUUAUCAAAACACAGAAGCACAAAAUUCAGCUUUUAUGAGGAAUCUUGUGCAAGAUGUAAAAGUUCA